rnacentral:rRNA from 1 species
AGUGAACGCUGGCGGUAGGCCUAACACAUGCAAGUCGAACGGCAGCACAGUAAGAGCUUGCUCUUACGGGUGGCGAGUGGCGGACGGGUGAGGAAUACAUCGGAAUCUACUUUUUCGUGGGGGAUAACGUAGGGAAACUUACGCUAAUACCGCAUACGACCUACGGGUGAAAGCAGGGGGUCUUCGGACCUUGCGCGAUUGAAUGAGCCGAUGUCGGAUUAGCUAGUUGGCGGGGUAAAGGCCCACCCAGGCGACGAUACGUAGCUGGUCUGAGAGGAGGGUCGGCCACACUGGAAGUGGGACAGCCACCAUACGCCUACGAGACGGAGCAGUGUGGUACGUGAGGCAGCAGUCGGGAACCUUGCCCAGCGGGCGCGAGUCGGAUGAAGAGACGUUCCGUUUGUAAAGACCGUUUGUUGGGUAAAAAAAGCAUCCAGUUAGGACCCCGCGAAAGUGACGGUACCCAAAGAAUAAGCACCGGCUAACUACGUG